GACGAACGCUGGCGGCGUGCUUAACACAUGCAAGUCGAAAGAGUGGCGAACGGGUGAGUAAUACGUGAGUAACCUGCCCUCUUUUUGGGAUAAGACUUGGAAACGGGGUCUAAUACCGGAUAAAGGGGGAUGGGCUCGCGGCCUAUCAGAUUGUGGGUGGGGUGGUGGCCUACCAAGGCGGUGACGGGUAGCCGGCCGGAGGGGGUGGCCGGCCACAUGGGGACUGAGAUACGGCCCAGAAUCCUACGGGAGGCAGCAGUGGGGGAUAUUGCACAAUGGGCGAAAGCAUGAUGCAGCGACGCCGCGUGGGGGAUGAAGGCGUUCGGGUUGUAAACCUCGUUCGCUCUCGAACGGGUAGGUGGAGAAUAAGCGCCGGCUAACUACGUGCCAGCAGCCGCGGUAAUUC
rnacentral:rRNA from 1 species